AGACUCUAUACUAAUUGUGCUAAAAAUUUAAAAACUAUAAAUAGCCCUGACCUAUAUACUUGAUUUAAAUCCUCUGUUUUCUCAUCUCCAAAACUUUCCUAUGAGAAUUUGAAUGUAAUUCAACUGAAAAAGUAGGACUAUUCGCGGGGCGAUACUCAGGGAACAACCUUCCAGACUUAUAUCGGACCCCACAAGCGUUACACAAUGUUUUAGGUCCUGUAGGACCUGCACGCCAUUGUGGGGUCUUAUCGACCCCACAAUGCUGGCACGUCCUACCAAUGCUAGUACCUCUUUUAGCUUUAGCCAUUGAUAUUUUGAGCAAUGUUAGUCCUUGCUUAGUACUAGUGUUGUUGAACUUC
rnacentral:misc_RNA from 1 species